rnacentral:sRNA from 1 species
UAGCUUAAGCGCUCCUUUCGGAGGAGGGC